GGUUGAUCCUGCCAGUAGUCAUAUGCUUGUCUCAAAGAUUAAGCCAUGCAUGUCUAAGUAUAAACACUUUUGUACUGUGAAACUGCGAAUGGCUCAUUAAAUCAGUUAUAGUUUAUUUGAUGGACCUUGCUACAUGGAUAACUGUGGUAAUUCUAGAGCUAAUACAUGCAUAAAAGCCCCGACUUCGGAAGGGGUGUAUUUAUUAGAUAAAGCCAACUUUACUGGUGAAUCAUGAUAACUUCUCGGACCGCAUGUCUCACGACGGCGGUGCUUCAUUCAAAUAUCUGCCCUA
rnacentral:rRNA from 1 species